CCUGUAAGAAGUGAAAACAAUGUGUCAAAAGCUUUGGUUAUAUAUAUAAAUUGGCCUUUGGUACAGGAUUUUUCAGGCCAUUCUUAGUUACUGGAACUUGUAUCAGAGUGUCCAACACAGAUAUGUUCAUUUUCCUAAGGUUUUACAUAUAUCUGGAGGAAUAUGCUAGAAAAUUCUAUGCUAUUUCUGCAGGUUACUAACUUACUCCGACUGUUUUUUCUUCAAGUAUCCGUGUCUAAUACCCAACAUAUUUUGACAUGAGUAUUGAAUACAAUUCUCCAAAUAUAUGAAAAUUUUCAAAAAAAUAUAAGAGUUCACUUAUAUUGGAUCACCUCGGAAUUCAAGUUGAAAGUGAUUGAAUGGGACUUACCGGGAAUAGGAGAAACAUCAUCCCCUUGAUGAAGAACCCAGGCAAGUGCAAGUUGUGCCGGUGUACAUCCAUGCUUUCCAGCCAACUUCUCUACUUUCGAAUAUAGGAUCCUAUUUUGCUCCAAGUUUUCUCCUUGAAACCUUGGGAACACUCCCUUAAAAAAUAAAUGUUUGUAAUGAGUCAACCGAUCUGUUUUUUUUACAACUUAGAAGCAUGUUACUAUGUUAUCCGAAUUCUUUAUUUUCUUUAAUUACUCAUAUCCAACAUGUCUCUGACACAUAAUUGGAUAUAAGUAUGAGAGUAACAUCCUUCAAAUAAAUGAAAAUGAAACUUAAAAAAUGUUUUUUUUACAACUUAGAAGCAUGUUACUAUGUUAUCCGAAUUCUUUAUUUUCUUUAAUUACUCAUAUCCAACAUGUCUCUGACACAUAAUUGGAUAUAAGUAUGAGAGUAACAUCCUUCAAAUAAAUGAAAAUGAAACUUAAAAAAAACUGAAUAUAUUCAUGUCGCACACAUAUCUGUAUCCAACACUUACUCCUGAACCCAUAUAACAUAGAUUAAGUAUAGGUUAAAGCUAUAUAAAGUGAGUUUCCAUACCAGAGAACUAUUAGAGGUAUCCUCCUUCGCUUUACCGGCAAAGAAACCAUGACCAAGGGGACUAUAUGCAACAAUCCCAAUUCCGAGUUCCCUGCAUUGUUGAACACAUUUAGGCAGACAUAACCUCAGAGCAGUUGAAGGACUUAAAACAGUUGAUAACUUGAGAAAAGACAAUCAAUAAGUGAAUUUCAAUCUAUUUGAGCAAAAGGGUAUAUUUAUAUCCCUCCAAAUAUAUAAAAAAUUGAAUAUACCUAUAUUCGAAAAAAAAAAUUACGAUGAUUGAAGAUAGAAGAAUAAACCUGCAAAGGGGAAUUAGUUCUUCCUCAACAUCACGAGUCCAGAGCGACCACUCAAGUUGUACAGCAGUAAGAGGAUGAACAGCGUGUGCCCUCCUUAUAGUUUCGGGGCUAGCUUCAGAUAUGCCAAUGUACUUUAUUUUUCCCUCUUCCACCAACUUCUUCAGUUCUUCCAUCUAUCAUACAUGAAAUAAAUAUAAAUUAUGCUUAAUUUUCCCAUAAACAAAACAAAAUUGUAUUUGUGUUAAAGAAAGACAAAAUAGGGUUUUUAAUGCAGCAAUGCUUACGGUAUCUUCUAUAGGAGUCUUGCGGUCAACUCUGAUUAUAUAGUAAAGAUCAAUAUAAUCCACAUCAAGGCGUUGAAGGCUAGCCUCAAGUGAAGAACGAACAAAUUCAGGAGUGCCAUUGAUAACCGGACCAUCUGGACCCAUGCUUUCAACACCGAAUUUUGUAGCCAACUGUACCUUCUCUCGUGGCAGAUGCUUCAAUGCCUGCAAAAAAAGAAAUGAUGUUGAUUUCCCAGAUUCCUUUAACGAGCCAAGAACCAGAAUGAAAACAUUAAAUCAUAUCGAUUUGAUAAACUAAAAAAUUCCAUCUCUCACGCAUAUCUUCGAAUAUGUAAUAGACACAAGAGUGUGGGAAAUUGAGAACAUGAAAGAAUCGCUCUCAGUUUCAAUGUGAUUAAGCUUGAAGAGAUGACGAAAGGAUGUUACCUUUCCGACCAGAAUUUCGUUAGUUUUGGGUCCAUAGAAGUCGGCUGUAUCGAUGUGAGUGACUCCUCUUUCGACUGCAUGCUUAAUGAUGGCUAUGCCAUCUUCAGCUGACACUGAAUGAUCGUGACCUGUAAGACUCAUACACCCAAAUCCCAGCUUUGAAACCUGCAGCAACCAAAAAAUAAUAGAUUUUACCCCCCAAAAGAAAACGCCAUUUUCUUAACUAAUAUAAACUAGUAGGAAACAAAAUCUCAAACCUCAAAUCCUUGAGUUCCAAGUUUCACUCUAGGAAUCUCAAUUGCCAUCUUUUGUUUCCUUUUUCUUCUUCUUCUUCUUUGUGUGCUAUAAACAAAGGCUUCUCUGAUUACUGAACCUCUCAAAACUUACAUUAAAUAGAAAAUUUUGAGGUCUUUAUCCAGUAUCUUAUCUUGUUCUCAGCUUUGUUAACAUUCUUACGUCAUUAAGUAUGUCAUCCCAUAUGCCUCAAUUGAAUGAGUGGAUAAAGCUCUUUUUCAGACACGUUUGACACUGUUUAAAUUGGUUAAAUAUAUCAUUUGGUACCUAAGUUUGAUCUUUUUUCUAAUUUGAUAUUUGUGUUAUUUUAAGGUAAAUGACAAAAAUGGUCACUAAAUUGGGGUGAAAUUUCCUUUUUUGCCUCUAAACUAUGAAAAGUUACAUUUUUAUCACUAAAGUUAUUUACUUAUAACAUUUUUAUCACUCGUCUGUUAAUAGAAAAGUGAGGUGUGGUACAUUAAUUUAAGGAUUAAUAUCUAAUUUGAUCAUUAAACUAUAGUUAAGAUAUAAUUUGAUAUUUUUAUAACAUUUUUAAUAAGAAAAAAAUAAAAAAAUCCUAAAAAUUUAUUAUUUAUUUUUUGAAAUUAUGAAAAUAUUUUUAAAAAUUGUAAUUAUGUAAAAAAAUUAUAAAAAUUUUAUAACAAGCAAAACACGUAUUUUACAAAUUAAAAGAAAAAUACGUUUUUAUUGGUAUAGCAUAAAACCAUUUUGCAUAAUAUCUUGGAUAUAAUUAAAUCUGAUCAACUCGUCUGCUACUGUAGCUUUCAGUGCUGAAAAGCAAGCCAAGCCUUUUCCUUUGAGCAGCUACAGGGAAACCGACAAUGAUUGAACUAUUAGACCCAAGCUGCGUUACAGCCGCGCAGCUCUACGUAAAGUCAUGGUCACGUAGUGCAAAUACGUAUUUUGUUUAUUAUAUAAUUUAUAUUUUUUUUGUUUUAUUUUUUACAUGAUUAUAAUUUUAAAAAAUAUAAUUUCAAAUAAAUGAUGAAUUUUCAAAAUAAUUUAAGAUUUUUUUAUAUUUUUAGAAUUUUUAUUUUUUUGAAAUUAUUGUUAAAAAUGUUAUAAAAGUACUAAAUUGAAUGUUUAAGCUAUAAUUUAGGGAUCAAAUUGGAUAUUAAUCCUUGAAUUAGAGGCCAAAAUAUUAUAAGUUGAUAACUUUAGUGACUAAAAUAUAACUUUUCAUAGUCUAGUAAAAAAAAUCACCAAAGUUUAAUGAUCAUUUUUAUAGUUUACCCUUAUUUUUAUUCAAUAUGAUACAUAUGCUUGACAAGAAAAAAAAAUGUCAUCUCAUAUUUUUUUUUGUUUGAUAUAACAUUUCGUACUCAAGUUUGAAUUUUUUUUAAUGCCAAAUCUAUGUUAUUUUUAUCCAAUAUAAUACAUGCAUUUAAAAAAAAUUUAUAUAUUUUCGUAUCUAAAAAUAAAAAUAUUAAUUUUCUAGAUUCGGGUUUUAAUAUUAAUUUAGUGAAAAAUAACUUCUAAUAUUUAAUGUUUGAAUUUUUCAUGAUUUUCUUAAUAGAUUAAAUUUAGUAUUAUUUGUAAAUUUGUUUAGUUUUGCAUUAAAUUAUUUAAAUACAACUUGAUGGAUAUGAUUUAAUUCAAGUUUUAGGAUCGAUGUGAUGAAAUUUAAUUGCUAAUAUUAUCAGCCAAUUACGAAUUUUCAUCCAACUCUAAAAUUCGGAUUAAACAUUAAAAAGUUGGCAUCUUUAACUUCAGGUAUCAGUUCUGGAAUAAACACUAAAAAGUUACCAUUGUUAGCUUUUGGUAUCAAAAUAUAUAACUUUUGUCAAAUAUAAGUACCAUUUCUAUAUAGACUUCCUCGUCAAUUUCAUCAACAAUGCAAGCUUACAUUUAAUUUAUAGUCUUUUCAAGUACAGCAGUAGUCGGAUCUGAUUGGACAAUGACUCUAAUUUCCUCUAAAAAUCCUUCUUGAGUUUAGCUCGAUUAGUACGGAUCAUUUGGGACCAACUUAUUAAAUUAGAUCCCAUAGCCUUUAUUUUUUCCAGAAAGGUACCGUUGGAAAGGUCCCGUGACCUCUCUGACCUCACCUUGGCAGCUUUCCUCCAUAACUCGAGAGGCCUCCAUUCUGAAAUUCCUUGUAGAAUUGGAUAGUCCAGCUCGAGAAAUAAAAUCUUCAGUACAAAUAUUAAUGUGUAGUGAUCCAACUGGGGUAUACCAGGUGCUGGACUGAGUAGCGUGGAAAAAGAGACCACCAGUUCAAGUUCGCCACACAUUGGUCUAGUCUCCCACAAACGUUGGUUACCAUCGUUAAGCCUUUUUCCCAUGUGAACUAAGGACUAUUGCAAACUCUACCACCCUGUUAGAAAGUGCAACUUAUCAUUGAAUUUUGAGUACGAAGGACAAGAGGGAAACUAAAUACUAUUUGGUGCUGCAAAUCUCGGACAAAAUCAGUUCCCUUCUCCUGGUUGUCUACCACAGCCAAUUCCAGGUUAUCGCCAAGCUCUUGGUUUUUUGAAACAGAGAAUUCAUUAUUCUAUGAUAAAGCCAACUCAUGGUCAACAUAGUCAGGUUUUCAAUCAGUAGCUAACUUGUUAUCAUGUCUAUAAAUAUGACCAACAUCCCCUUCUUUCUCAUGAUAAUGCCAUAAACCUAGGAUGUGAUCAUAAGCCUGUCCUGUCCCAGUGUGUCUCAAGCUAUGGUUAUGGCCUAACACCAGUUGCUGGUUCUGCUUUUAUUCUAGAUUGUGGCUUUGUGCAUAGAUCAUGUCAUGAUUAGCCAUUGAAUAAAUUAAUCACAGUGUUAAUUCACAAUGCAUUCAACAAGCCUUAUUUAUCAGCAUUUAUUUACAAAACAAAAUCACAUUGCUUUCAUUCAUUUACAUAGUUCUAACAUUAAAUUCAUUUAAAAUAAACAAGAAGUUGAAGCCCAAAGAAUGAAUACCCAAUGGAAAGAACAGCUUUAGCAAGUCCAGGAAAAUCAGACAAUGCUGAAUAAGUGCCUGAAACAAAAGCUAUCACCGUUGCAGUAAUCCCAUAACUCGUUAACAACGAAGUAAUAUACGUAUAAAAUGCAUGGGCAUCGAGUUUUUCCACAAACGAUUUGCAGUAAUGGAGGAACAUCGAUGUGGACGAGAAGCAAAAGGCCAACGCAUUAGCUAUCACAAACACUCUAAAAGCCAAUUUUCUGCUUAAAAUCGCCAUUCCUUCCUCGGGGCCAUCGCUUUUGUACCCACCGGGCGUGGUGAAACCCGCGGCGAAUGAGAUGAUGGCGAUCAGUGUUGUCACCAGUAAGUUUAUGCUGGCGAUGGUAUGGAGUUGAUCGGAGCUUGGUUUCUUGAUCGCUGCAGGUUCGGGUCUUUUGUUGGGAAUAAGUUGUGGUUGGGUUUCAAUGGCGACAGGGGACCAUGUUGUUUGUGGUUGUUCUUGAUUUGCUGUUGUCGAUUCAGUAGAUCUUGUUUUUCUUCCGUCCUUGUUGAUUGCAUGCAUGUUCUAAGCUUUCUAGACCUCUAUUGCUUGCAACACUCAUUGUAAUCCAAGUCAGUAAGUAGCUCAAUUUGAGAUAAAUAUCCAAUUAUUUGAUCUUUAGAUUUGAUUAUGCUUGUUUACCUAAUAAAAAAUUUUCAAGGAUUAAAAACUCCUCAAAUUAAAUAAGUAGAAAUAUUUUUCAAUUUUAUUGUUGCUUUAUAAUUUUGGUUGAUAUAAUAACAAAUUAAGUCUUUGAUGUUUAUAUAUUAUGUUAAUUUGAUUUUGAUUCUGAAUAAAUUAUAUAAAAAAGAUGUAUUUAAAUAUAGAUAGACUGUGUAAACUGUAAGAUUAAAUUUACUAUUAUAUUAAUUAAAAUUUUAUAAAUUGAUGAUGAAUCAUUAAUUGGUUUUAGAUUAAAAUAUUCUAUUUUUUUUGAAAAUUAUGACCCGUUUGGUUAUAUCAAAAUUGAGAGGGAUAUGAAGGAUAUUUUUACUGAUUAAAUAUAAAGUAAAAUGACACUCAGGGAUCAAUUCCAUUUUUUUAUUUUUCACUUACUCUUGAAUAACAUGAUACUUCUUGUGCAAGAGUUAGUUCGCUCAAAAUAUUCUUCAACGAAAUUACUUGAGAAGUGCACACUGCAGCAACUAUGUAUUUUACUUCACAUGUUGAAAAGGCAUUAAAUUUUAAAAAAUAAAGGUAUUGGGAUUAAAUUGAAAAUGUAUAAAGAGUAUAAGCACUUAGAACAUGUUUUGACUUUUAAAUUUUAUUCCAUAAUUUGCUCCAAAAAUUAAUUUAUUCCAAUGCGAAGCGUGGCAAGAACUAUACUAUAAUGAGUAAAUCACAGGGAUAAGCACUUCAAAUUUUCAAGAAAUUUUACAAUACUUAAAUCAAAAACUCCUAACAUUCAUAAAUAAGAGGAUAAUAAAUACUUAAGUACACUCAAAUCCUUUUGACUGUUGCAACAGCAGUGGUGCCAAUUGAUUUGAAGCUAAAGCAAUAAUUUUUAUAAAUUAUUUAAAAUUAAUUGUAAAAAAUAUAAAAUAUAAACUUAUUUUUUUAUUUUAUUUUAAAUUUUAAUAUAUAAAUAAUUAAGCGGAUGUUAACUGAGGUAUGACAUUAUUUUUAUUAUAACAAUCAGGACAAUGUGAAUUUAAACGGAAUUUUGAAUCAAAUAGUAUUGAAAAGGGUUUUCAUCAUUAUUUCCAUUAAUAUUACAAUCAUACUACAAGCCAAGCAAGUGCAGUACACCCUAAGGCUCAAACAAACCUUCAAAUUCUAUGAAAUUUUUUAGGAUUUAUUACAAACCAAGCAAAUGGAAGCACACACUAAGGCUCAAACAAUGAGGUAAGCACACACUAAGGCUCAAACAAUGCCUCAAUUUAUUAUCAACUUUUUUGCAGAGCUGGUAAUGAUAAUCGUAUGCCCCGUGAUAAUAUCAAUAUAUUACCAAGAAGGCAGUGAAGCAGCAGCCAUGAAAGCGACAAACUAUUCGUAGUUAUAAACAGUACAACGCGAGUUCAGAUCAGGCUUCCACCAAUGGCGAAGUUUAUGAGGUGAAAUGCUUUCUUCGGGAGGACUGAGAUUCUCUAUAAGAUUUGCCGAAGGAAGCAACUGAAGCGGCUCCGAAAUUGCAACAUCCAUUAUUUUCAGUUCUUUGAUCACUAUAUUUCUUAGUGAAUGAUGGCUUAUUAGUCCCCAAACUCCAACGUCGUCGCUCUUUCUUCUCUUCUUGAAAUGUUCAAUAUCUCCUUGACAUGUGAAGUCUCUACUAUUCACAAACAAACAUGGGUUCCACCCUGAUAUUGCAGCAAAUGAAUCUUCAUCACCACUAUAUCCCAAAGCAAGGACAACGCCGCCUUUGAUAACAGUGAUUGUCAGUUGAAGUCCACGUAUCACAUUCUUGUUGUCUUUGAAGAUUGUCUCAAUUGGGAAAGAUGCAUAUGGCGGAUUAAACAAAAAACUUUACAAGAAUUUGCCUCUUUUCACCGUAUUCUUUCCAGCAAGCAUUGCGAUGGCUGCCCCUAGGGAAUGACCAGUUAACCAUACCUUUGAAGAACCAGCCUUUGACACCCUAUCUUCAACAUAUUUCAUGGCGGUCCGAACACGACUAGUUUGAUGAAGUGUAUAGGAUUAUUGCGAAAUCCGACUCAAGAUCCCUUUUCCAAGUUUCUCGUUUGAAUAGGGUACCUCGAAAGGCGAUCACGUAUCCAGGGCCUGGAUUAGUUGCCGAAGGAAACACAUAUUCAAGAAUGGCACCAAAGAUGCUUUCAUCAUCCUCAUGGACGAGCUCAUUCACUAACUUGAAGUUGAAAAACUCCCACCAUUGUGGCGCAAGUGUCUCAGAGCCUCCACGUAAUUCCACUUGUCGGUCACGUUCCCGCUCGGAAACACCCUUGACCAAGCUGGCUGAUAAGGAUCUUCGAUGGCUGUCGUCGUUCCUAUCAAUGGUGGUAAGGUUUUUGGGUCCCACAAGACUAAAAGGUUCUCUUCCACGAGACGUAUAUUAUAGCACUGGAAACUAUUGACGUGGGUACGAGGGCUUUGGGUGAUGUGGGUUUCAGGCUAUAUGGUGGUUAAAGCAGGUUGUGCAAUGGUGACUGUGGUCAGUGAUGUGACAGCGCUGGCGAAUGGACCCGCGGAGCUUGGUCUGGGAGCUCUUAAAUAGAAAAUCUUGAUUAUCCAGUAUCUUCUCUUGGUCUCAGCUUUGUCAACAUUCUUACGUCAUUAAGUAUGUCAUCCCAUAAUGAGUGGAUAAAGCUCUUUUUCAGACACGGUUUAAAUCAUAUGGUUAAAUAUAUAUUUAGUUUUUUUAGAAUUUAUAUUUGAGUUAUUUUAAGAUAAAUUAUAAAAAUGGUUAUUAAAUUGAGGUGAAUUUUUUUAUUAUCUCUGAAUUCUGAAAAGUUAUAUUUUUUUAUUAAAAUUAUCUACUUAUAAUAUUUCGAUCAUUCGUAUGUUAAUAAAAAAGUGAAAUUGUAUAUAUUAAUUUAAGGGUUAAUAUUUAAUUUCAUCAUUAAACGAAUUAAUGAAUGACAAUGACUAUAUUGGGCUAUAAGUAACUUGUUUUAGUAGUAUGUUAGUCAAUUCAAAUGAGAGAAAAGAAGAGAUCAAGAACUAUAUUAGAACAAUAAAAACAUACAUUGAUUAAACAAUAGCUACAACUCUAUUCGUCCAAGUAAACACGAUACAAAAUAUGACGCAACACCAUCAUCAACACUGAACCCUCCAUUAAUGACAAUCCAAAGCUUUAGUAUGUUUCUUGGGAAAUCCAUUCAUCCCAACACCCAUGAAACUUUGCUUCUAAACCUAGGCGCUCUUCUUUGGUGGUGUAUUGCCAUAUUUCCAAGUGAAUUGCUUUAAAUCAUCAGGAUAAGUACCCCCUGCAACCUCUUGGAUUGGGAUCGCAUCUGAAAUUUCUUUCAAAUCUUCUUUUGUCAGCUUUACUUUCACUGAUUCAAUGUUGCUGUCUAGAUUUUUAAUCUUGGUUGUUCCUGUAAGAAGUGAAAACAAUGUGUCAAAAGCUUUGGUUUUAAAUCUCAAUGCAAACUGGCCGUUGGUCCAGGAACUUGUAUCGGAGUGUCCAACACGGAUAUGUUCAUUUUCCUAAGGUUUUACAUAUAUCUGGAGGAAUAUGCUAGAAAAGUCUAUGCUAUUUCUGCAGGUUACUAACUUACUCUGACUGUUUUUUCUUCGAGUAUCCGUGUCUAAUACCCAACAUAUUUUGACAUGAGUAUUGAAACAAUCCUCCAAAUAUAUGAAAAACUUCAAAAAAUAUAAGAGUUCACUUAUAUUGUAUCACCUCGGAUUCCGAGUUGAAAGUGAUUGAAUGGGACUUACCGGGAAUAGGAGAAACAUCAUCCCCUUGGUGAAGAACCCAGGCAAGUGCAAGUUGUGCCGGUGUACAUCCAUGCUUUUCAGCCAACUUCUCUACUAAUAUUUUUUAUAUUUUUUUUAUAAAAAUCAAUAAAUAUUUAAGUAAGAAAUGGACAUAAUUUAAAGUCGAAUUUUAUAGUUAUUUUUUCUUGCUUUAUUUUAAGUAUUAAUUUAAUCUAAGUUUUUUUAAGUCUUCAUUAGCUAUAUUCUUGUACACAAGUUGAGAGAAAUUAUUAAGAACAAAUCUAUUGGGUUGAUUUGGGCAUCAAGUAUAUUUUUAUCUUAGCCGCAAAUUAAUUUUUACCGGUACUACUAAAGUUGAUCAUAAUCUAUUUAGUCUAGAUCUAAACCUUAAUUUUCUGAUAAACAUGUUAAUUUACAUGAUUCUUGUGUUUAAUUUGGCUUAUUUCUGAAUUAAUCCCUGCUUAAUUGGUGUUUUUAUGGAUUAAUCUUGCCAGGGAUGCAAUUGAUCAAAAACGAGCAAAAAGGUCAAAUUGAAAGACAAAUCGUUGAGUUGGGGCCAAAUCAUAAAGAUGAGAAAGCUAAGGAUUUAACAUCAAUUUUGACUUUGUAAAAAGCUAAAAAUAGGAGAUAUUAUUUUAUGUUAUUUUAUUAUUUAUUAUUUGUUAUUUAUUUUAUUAAUUUAGCUUUAGCCUAUUUUUAGUAAACCCUAUCUAUAUAAAUAGAGACUUUUAGUUCUUAGAAAAUCAUCUCUUGUUUUUGUAUUCCUACUUCUAUUUGGAAUAGAAAUACUCUUUUUUUUUCCCUUUUCAAAUUGGAGUUUAGCAUUCUGCCACUUUUUCACUUGGUUUUGUUUCUUUUUUAAAAUUGGGCUAAUUGCCUUUCAAGCGUUUUUCUUUUACAAUUUUCAUCACCAUAAUCAUCAAUCUUUUUUUCCAAACUCACAAAGCAUGAACAAUUUCAUGCUUAACCAAAUUCCAUCUUAGCUUUAGGCCGGUGUUCUUUCCGGUCAAGAAUCCUGAGAUUCAUACUUGCACCUAAAAUCUUUUCAAUCGGUAUUCACCUUUUUCCUAAGUAUCGGGAUUGACAACUCAUCCUUUAAGGAUAAUUCGAUUUCAAGUCAAAAAGAGCUCGUUGGGUUGGAGUCGUGUUUUGUGACAGUUGGAGAAACGAAUCAACCGGGCUGUAUUUGGAUCUCCGAGAACAAAUCGAGGAAGAGGUGAUCAGGUUUAAACGACCCACGCGGUUGAGGCCGUUAAUUCGAGUUGGGUUCUUCAGAACGCAAGGCUACCGGAAUCUUGAAUCGAGAACAUGUGUAUCUCUGUUAGAUAAUCGAUAAGGGUUGGUCUGCAUGUAAUACCCCUACCCGUAUUCAUUGCCGGAAUAGGGUACGAGACAUUACCGGAGUUUACGAAUUAAAUUUUUUUUAUAUUCAAUAUAGCCCCUUUAUAAAUAUCUAACCUUCCCUGCAAUAUUAAAUCGAGACCAAUCCACAUCAACCAAAUCAAUUCAACAUAUUUUCAAGAUAAACUCAUUCAUAUUUAUAAGAUAACGUCAUCACAUAUCUAAAACCAGGUUUGUUAACCAUACUAAUGGCUAACUUUACAUUCAUUUCACGUUAACAUUUACUUUGUUAGCUUAUACAUGCCAUUGAUUUCCAAAAUAAAGUUUCUUUAUAUACCGACAUCCUGAGUUUGACAGUGUGAUGUGUCUCCGACCAAAUCCGACCUCCGAGCUCUUAACACUACAAAACAGGGAAAAAGGAAACGGGGUAAACACUUCGUGCUUAGUAAGCUCAUGUAAAAAGAAUUAUACUUACCUAAUAUUUUCAAUACAAUACAAUAAACAUCCAUAUAUCCAUUCAAUGCAUUAUUACGCUAAUAUGCACAAACUCAACAUUCAAGUUAGUACAAUAAUUUCCAUGUACCAAUAAUAUAUAUCAUGAUUGAUGAGCUCGUCAAUACCAUGAUUUCCAUUUCCUUGCUAUUUUUCCAUAUUUAUCCCGUUGAAUUUAUCGGAAUUUCGAUAGAUUUUCAGAGGUACACAUUUAUUGUACAAUCCCGGGUCCGUUAAUUCAUAUUCAUGUGCGCACAUAUCCAUUUCAGAGAGCACACUCCCACGAGCCUCAACCUUGCAGCGGGAUUACCAGUCCAGGCUAAAUCCCCUGCAAUAUAAACUCAUAGAUUAUUGUCGGGAUUACCAGUCCAGGCUAAAUCCCCUGCAACGACAAUUACUCUAAUGAGCUUGGAUCUGAAUUACCAGUCCAGGCUAAAUUCAGACCCUAAUUCGGAUUACCCGUCCGGGCUAAAUCCAUUUUACACAUAUUUUUCGGGAGGGCUAUAUCAGGAUAGGAUCACCCGUCCGGGCUAGAUCCUUUUUACCGUUAAUUCCUUUUCAGAGAUCCAUCGAAUUUUCCUUUCAUUCAACCGAUAUUUCUUCCCAUUUUAUCAAAUAUAUCAAUGUUUCAUUAAUUUUCAUACAAUGAACACUCAAAUCAUAUUCACAUCAAUAACAUACAAUCUCAGGCAUUUAAGAAUAUAAUUCAAGUUACACGAACUUACCUUGAUACUUGUUUGUAAACAAUAAAAAUCUACUAAUCCCGAACUUUUUCCUUUCCUCGAUCUAGCUUCGUAUUUGAAUCUUCCGGAUCUAAAUAAAUAAAUUUAAUUAUCAAUUUAAUACAUUUCAUGUUCAUAUGCAACAUUCUCUAUGAUUCAACUAUUAUUUAUAGUUCAUUCAAAGCUGUCUACUUGAGUCAUAGUCACUAAAUUAUUUAUAACUUGAGCUAUGGAACUCCAAAUUAAGAUCCAUUAAUUUUUACUGAAACUAGACUCAUAUAUAUUUUUACCAUAAACUUUUCAGAAUUUUUGGUUUAUCCAAUAAGUACAGUUUAUUCUUUAAAGUCUCCCCUGUUCUGCUGUCGACAGUUCUAACCCUUCUUCACUAAAAAUUAAUUAUCUCUUCAUACAGAAUUCAAAUAAUGUUCUCGUUCAUUUCUAUUAAAAAUAGACUCAUUAAGGAUUCUAUACAUAUAAAUUUAAGCCCAUAAUUGUUUUUCUUCAAUUUUUUAUGAUAUUUCAAAGUCAGAACAGGGGAACCCGAAUUCAUUCUGACCUUGUCUCACAAAAUUAAUUAUAUCUCAAAAUUUACAAAUCCAUUACUUACACUAUUUCUUCUAUGAGAAACUAGACUCAAUAAGCUUUAAUGACAUAUUUUUUUCAUCUUCUAAUUCGAUUUUUACAAUUUAUGGUGAUUUUUCAAAAUUAGUCUACUGCCGCUGUCCAAACUGUUUUUGUGCAAGCUGUUUAUUACCAUUUUUCCCCUAAGCUUUUAAUAAAUGAUAAUUUCGUCCCUACUCAAUUAGCCUAUCAAUUGAGCUGAUUUUUCUCAAUUAACAUUUUAUUCUAUCACCUUAAACUAGUUUACAACCUUUAGGAAUUAGAAUUUCAGCAAUAGACUUUAAUUCCAAGCAUUUUCACAAUUAGGUCCUAAAAUCAAUUUCUAUUGAAAUUACCUAAUAAAAUCAUCUCAUAAACAAAUUAAAGCUUUAAUUUCAUUCUAUUUCAUCAUAAACUUACAGAACUCAACCAUGGUGACUUUCAAUUUCAUCCAUGAAAUCAAAAACUAAUGAAUUUAAUAGUAGGACCUAGUUGUAAAAGUCUUAGAAACACAAAAAUUACAAGAAAAAGGCAAGGAUUAACUCACUUGGUGCAAAAAUUAUGAAAUACCAGCUUAGAGAACCCUUCUAUGGCGUUUUUAGCUGCUAGAAUUGAAGAGAAAUGAAGAGAAAUCUAGAUAUUUCCUAUUUAGUCCUAGUUUUAUUUAGUUAAUUUUGCAAUAUUCCAAUUUUACCCUUAAUUUAUCAAUUUUUCUGCUGAUUUCAUACCCUUGCCGUCCAGCCCAAAUAACUUUUGGGUCUAAUUUCCUUUUAAAUCCUUUCUCAUUAGACUUUUAAGCUAUUUAAUCAUUCUAGCAACUUUUACACCUAUUACAAUUUAGUCCUUUUCAUUUAAUUGACUACCCAAACAUUAAAAUUUCCUAACGAAAUUUUAAAACCACAUUAAUAACAUUUCAUAAAUAUUUAUAAAAUUAUUUUUGACUCGGUUUUACGAGAUAGAGGUCUCGAUACCUUGUUUUUACCCAAUUUCUUCAAUAAUUUCUUUUUCUAUCUAAUCACUAAAUCGGUAAAAUUUUUCUAUCAAUAUUUUCAUACGAUUUUCCUAUCAUAUCAAUUUUCAUGAAAAAAUAUUGAAAUAAAUUUCUCUUUAAAUCGGAUUUGUGGUUACGAAACCACUGUUCUGAUAAUUUUGAAUUUAGGCUAUUACAUUGCAGGUUGUACUGAGUCCAGCUACGAGAGGAAGAAUUGGUGGUUAGGACGUUCUUAACCACUAUAACCAGCUUAUCAUUUUAAGGAGAAGAUCAAUUUUUGAGGAUCGAUUCUCAACACGGAAUUUACUGAGUCUAAGGCUAAGGCUCAUUACAUUUGAUUGCAAAUCCCAAUUUAAUUUCUGAUUUAUUUAAUUAUUUAUCUUAGCAGUUUUGAUUAUUUAAUUUCUAAUCAAUUUUAAAAUCCCCCGCUUUACUUAUUUAUUUGCUUAUUUUUUAGCUGGUACGUUUUGAGUCGUGGGCACGAAUCUAGCCACGACCCUUGACACGACAUUCUGUUCAUAAGCCAAACUCAAAAGUUGAUUAGAGUACCAAUCCCUGUGGACUCGACCCUACUACCACUCUUCCUACUAUCCAGAGUAUUUAGUAGGAACUAUAUUUGGUGAAUUCGACGCCCAUCAAAUUUUGGUGCCGUUGCCGGGGAUUAUAGAUAUUUUCUAACUUUUGUUUGUCUACCUUAUGACCAGAUCAGAACAGGGAAAUCUAGAGUUUGAGCCAGAAAUUGAGAAAUUGGCCCGACAACUACAAAGAGAAGCCAUAUGACAUGGUAAACGGCCAAAUCUCGAAUUUGAAACUAUAUCUUACACCGAAGAAGUUUUUGACGAACCAGACGAGAUGGCCGAACAAACUAUACGCCAGCUCGCAGCAGCACCGGAUGAACAACAGCCCUUAUGUAUAACCUAUCCAGUAGGAGGAACGCCGUUCGAGCUAAAGUCGGGUUUGAUCCACCUACUACCCACUUUUCGUGGAUUACAGAAUGAAAACCCGCACACCCACCUUAAAGAAUUUCAUAUGGUGUGCACAAGCAUGAAGCUUCAGGGAGUAACCGAAGACCAAAUCAAACUUCGUGCUUUUCUUUUCUCACUGGCCGACUCUGCUAGAGAGUGGCUAUUUUAUUUACCUCUAGGAUCUGUCAACACAUGGUCUGACAUGUCUCGUUUGUUUCCUGAAAGGCUCUUCCUUGCAGCCCGAGUGACCAAACUAAGGAGGGAUAUCGUAGGAAUCCAUAAGAAGGACACUUAAUCGCUCUACGAUUACUGAGAGCGAUAAAAAAAGUUGUGUACGAGCUGCCCACAACAUGGAUUGACUGAGCAGUCACUCUUGCAGUAUUUUUAUGAGGGUUUACUCCCGAUGGAAAUGAAGAUGAUAGAUGCUGCAAGUGGAGGGGCACUCGUUAAUAUGACACCCCAGAGAGCGAGAGAGUUGAUUUCAACCAUGGCUGCCAACUCUCAACAAUUUCGACCGGUUACAAAACCUACGAGACGGGUUCAUGGGUUAAGUUCUUUGUCUCUAAAAGAUAAGAUUGAUAAGCUGACUAAUGUUGUUUAAACUUUACUUUCAGAUAAAACAGGCCCAGUACGGUUAUGCGAAAUUUGCGCCAAGCCAGACUGCCCGACGGACUCAUGUCCAAUUUUACAAGAGGAUUCGACAGAAUAAGCGAAUGUUAUCGGGAACUUCCCAGGACUACCCUAAAAAUGGUAUGACCCUUACUCGAACGCGUAUAAUGUGAGGUGGAAGGAUCGCCCAAAUCUCAACUAUGGGACAAAUUUGCAGUUCAAUCAACCGUUCCAACAAAGGCCACCGCAGAAUCAACAGAUACUACCCCCAAAGUCAUCUUUGGAGGCCAUAGUGGAAAGGUUAGCCAACAGUACUGAGAAUUUCCAAUAAAAAAUUGACAUGCAUUUGUAGGAGUUGGACAAGCAAGUGAGCAAACUCGCACUCACAGUUAGCCGUUUGGAGUCCCAAGGUAAGCUGCCAUCCCAGACUGAGCCAAAUCCACGACACAAUGCAAGCGCUAUGAUGCUAAAGAGUGAUAAGGUUUUGGAGCCCGUACAUGAUACAAGUCGAGGCCACGAUACUAGUCGCGCCCAUGACGCUAGUCAAGAUAGGGAGAAACUUGGCACAGAGGCUCUAGUGGAGUCGAGACCACAAAAGUCAUUUGCAGUACCACCUCCAUUUCCCGGACGACUUGUCCAAUGUAAGAAUGAGCGAGACGAGAUGGAGAUCCUAGACACCUUCCGAAAGGUGGAAAUCAACAUACCUCUUUUCGAUGCAAUUAAGCAGAUCCCACGAUACGCGAAGUUCCUGAAAGAGUUAUGCACGAGUAAAAGGAGACUUUUGGGAAAUGAAAAGGUAAGUGUCAGAGAAAAUGUCUCUGCCAUUCUGCAACGGAAAAUACCGCCCAAAUAUAAGGACCAAGUUAUGUUUUUCAUAUCUUGUAAAAUAGGUAGCGUUGGUAUUAAAAAAGCAAUUUGUGACCUAGGCGCAUCAAUUAAUGUUAUGCCUUUGUCAAUUUAUAAAUUACUUAACGCGGGUCCUUUAGAGGAAAUAAGCGUGAUAAUCCAGCUUGUAGAUAGAUCUGUGGUGCAUCCGGAGGGAGUAUUACAGGACGUUCUUGUCAAGGUAAACGAGCUAAUAUGUCUUGUAGACUUCUACAUCAUCGACAUGGAGGAUGACAAUUCGGCCAAUGCAUCAGACAUACUUCUUGGAAGGCCAUUUUUGAGUACCGCACAAACUAAAAUUGACGUAAGAAGUGGGAUACUCACUAUAGAGUUCGAUGGGGAAGUAGUAAAAUUCAAUGUCUACGAAGCCAUGAACCGUCCUAACAUGAUUUCUAAUGUUUCUAAUAUUGAUAUUAUUGAUCCUUUAAUUGAGUUACAUUUGGAAUAUCAUGACAAGGAUGAGUUACAAACUGUCUUUUGCAGGAGUUUUGUGACAGCCUUAAUUUUGACCCUAGUCGGAAAGUGGUUUCGGGACCACAAAACUGAGUCAUAAAAAUAAUUAACUGUUAAAUUCUAUGUUUAUUAUAUGUGUAAAUGCAUGUGUGAAAGUUUCAUGCUUUGAUUUUGUCAUUUGUAUAUGAAAUUUAUAAGAUAGGACUCAUGUGAUAAAACUUGAAAGUGUGAUAGGUAAAUUUUAAAGUGCCAAAUAAUGCAUGAAAUGUUGACAUGAGGGAUUUGCAUGUCAAAUGGACCAAUUUUGUUAGUGGCCGGCCAUAAAUGAUGGUUGAUGUAUAAUAUAUGUUUUAUUUAAGUAUUAUAAUAAGUAAUGGCUUUAUUUUUGAAAUAAAUUAAUUAGUAAAACAAUAAAAGAUGAUAAAAAAAAAUAGAUGUUCAUCUUUCUUUCUUGAUUGCCGAAUUUGGGAAAGAAAAAUAGUGAAGAAGAAGCCAAGGCAUUCGGCCAUGGUUAUCUCCAUUUAAAGGUAUGUAAUGCAAUUUUUAUUUGUAAUUGAUUAUGAAAUUAAAUAGAUAAAUACAUAGCAUAGUUAACCCAUGGUUUAAAUUCAUGAAUCAAUGAACAAGUGUCCUUUUGGCAAGUGCUAAAUUGGUAUUAUUUUGAUAAGUUUUUGGAAAGAUGUUAGUUAUAUGUUAAGUAGCUUAAAUGAUGGUUGAAUAAGUAGAAUUCAUGGUUGAAAAGUAUGAAUUGAAAUUGCCGUAUGUGUGUAUAUGCAUUUUGGAAAGAAAAAUGUUGUUGUUUAGUUGAGUUUUCAUUUGAUACGUACAUUCAGUCAAAAGGGGGGGAGGAAUAAGAUGAAUUUAAAAUGUUGUGGUUUGUUUUUAAAGUUGGUUAAAUAGUUGUGGUCAUUGCCGAAUACAUUUGUGUUAGGGGAAAAUAUGAUUAAGUAUCGGUUUGAUGAGCUAAAUAUAUAUGUAUAUUCGGCUAUAUAAAUUUGAUGUGUACUUGAAAAUAUAAUAACCCUUAAGAGAUUGUGUUUGUGUAUGUGAACUAGAUGUUUUAUGGAUAUUCGGCUAAAAGGGUAAAUGGCUAAGUCAUAGGAAUUGGGGUGAUAUACAUUAGGUCAUUGGGGUUAUAUGUACUUGGUAAUGUGAGUUAUGUAUUAAGUAAGUUAUUUCUUCGAAAUGUAUAUUCGGUCAUUGUUUAGCAUAGGUGAAACCUAUGUACAAUUUGCUACAUUUGAUCAUAAAAUGGAAUUUGUAUAUGAAAGCUAAGUUUGAGUGGUUAGGGCCGAAUGUGGUAUAUGAGAUAUUAAGGCAUGUUAUGAUUAUAUAUAUGUGUGUAUACGUGGUUGUGCAUAAAAUGAGUAAUUGAUUAAAUUGUGUUAGUCACACAUAGGUAUAUAAAAAUAUAUGCCUUAGGUAAGUACCUUGUAACAUAGAGACAUUCGGUUAUACAUAUAUGUAUAUAUUAUAUAGAUAAAUUCGUGUAAAUAAUAGGCAUGAUAUCGAGUCAUGGUACAUUUUAUAAAACUUAACAUGUAUGGAAGUUAUAUGAUUAUCAAAUGUGAUUAUUAAAGAAUUAAAGUUGAGUAGGUAAUUAAACAAAUUCAAUUGUUUAAUUUUAAAGCUCAAGAGCAAAGAGGAAAUAAAUCAGAUAAGGGGAAGGAGAAAGCAAUCGAGUAGCCUAUCCGUAACUGUUCAAUUAUACCCGAGGUAAGUUUUGAGUAGUUUCUUUUAGUAUGAAAUUGAUAACGCUUUUAUAAGAGUAUAUUAAGUGAAUUGAAAUCUUUGGUUUGUUCUUGAUUAUAGUUGUAUAAUAAAUAGUGUAUGUAUACCAUUAUAGUAUAAUGGUCACUUUGGGUUUAAUAUUGAAUGGUGAAAUGAAUGUGUGGUAUUAAGUAUAACUCUUGAGCCGAAAUGUGAAUGAUGAUGUGCAUAUUGAGCUUAUAUCCGUAUGUAGUAAAUGAUUACUAAAGUGAUAGGUUGAAUGAGACAUGUUAAAAUAUGACUAAGUAUGCAUGGUAUUUGAAAUAUAUCCGGACAUGAGGUCUGUAGGCUAUAUGCUGGGAAUAUAUCCGGACAUGAAGUCCGCAGGCUAUGUGCUGGAAAUAUAUCCGGACAUGAGGUCCGCAGGCUAUGUGCUGGAAAUAUAUCCGGACUUGAAGUCCGCAGGCUACGUGCUGGAAUGGUACCCGGGUUAAAGACCCGUGGACUUGUGUUAUAAAUGUGUUUCAAGUUCUAAGACUUGACAGGACCGAGGCCAGUAAGUUAAGUAAGACUACGAUAUUGAAUGUCCGUGGUAACCAUCAUCGAGUAAGUAACAUAUAUACUUUACAUGUUAACGUACGUAUUAUGUGCUCAUAUGUGAAUUGAUUUCAAAAUGAUUUAUUAGUAUCAAAGAACCAUGUAUAUAUAUAUAGGUGUGUGGAUGAAUUCGGUAUUUUAGGAUAAGACAAUGACAUAUUCGGUCACUGUAAGUCAUUAUAGGAAAAUAUGUGACUAAACGUAAUUGUAUAAACCAUGUAGAUAAUGAAACAUGUGCUAGAAAUUUUCUUGUGUAUACAUAAAUACAUAUUCGGCCAAUAGAAUUUAUAACUAGUGUACUUGUGUAUAUUUGGCCAAGUGAAUUACAAUUAGAAUACGAGUUUUGUGAUAUUUAAUGUUCGUUUUAUAUGAUACGUUUUGAUUGUUUGAGAUGCUUAAAACUUACUAAGCAUAGUAAUGCUUACUUUGGUGCCUUAAUUCUUUGUUUUAUAGAUCUUGUUCGUCAGCUACGGUCUCGGGGAUCUCAAAGUCGAAGUCGUCCACACUAUCUAAGCCUUUUGGUACUCUAGUAGCUAAAUUUCGAUAAUGUAUAUAUGCAUAGCCAUGCGAAAAUGGCUUGAUAAGUUACUAUAUGUGUUCCAAAUGGUUAGUGUGAAUGUGUGGUUGAGAUUUGAUUAAUGUUUUCAAUGUUUGAUUUGAAUUGAACUUAAGAAUGAAUCACUAUACCUAAUUAUCUUGAUAUGACUCUUUUGUAUAUGGUAAUAAUCUUUAACCCUCUGGCGACGGGUACGGGUUAGGGGUGUUACAAGUUUUGUAACAUCUCCUAACCCUAUACCAUCGCCGAAACAGGGUUACAAGACAUUACCAGUCCGUACAGUCCAAUUCUGGUCAUUAAUUAAAAUAAAUAUUCACACUCAUCCUAGUUUUAUGAUGUCGUCCCUUUAAUGGGCCCUCGCAGUCCAAUAUGAACAAUAAAUUCAAUUCAGGACUAAUUUAGAAUCACUACGAAUUUUUAGUAAAUUUCAAAGUUCAUAUUAUAUACCGUUGCCAACCAUAAUUUACUUAUUUCAUCAAUACUUCUACAACUUAAAUGACUCUCAUAAAACAUCCUAGGUACAUGCCAUUACCAAUACUCGACAUACAUUACCUCAUUGAAUUCAGAGUCGGCCUGGGAUGCUGAUUCAACGGUCUAACCUUAACUUAACCUACGCACGAAAAUAAAUCGUACGCUGAGUAUACACUCAGUGGUAUUUCUAUAAUCUGAACACUUAAACUGUAAUAUCCUGAAUUAGGGAUUAAUCGGAAUAGUGGUUUCGUGACCACAAAUCCGAGAUAGAAAUAAUUAUUUUAUAAUUAUUUUGAUGAUUAUAAUAUGAUUGCAUGAUUGUGUGAAAAUUUCGUGAUGAAAUUCUAUGCCUAAAAUGCUUAAAUUGAAAGUAGGGACUAAAUCGAAUAAGUUGCAAAAUUUGCAUUCUAGAAGUUUUUAGUAUGAAAUUGCAUUGAAAUAUUAAUUAGGAGAUCUUAAAUAGCAAUUUGACCAAUUUUAAGUUCAUGGACAAAAUUAGGACAUGGAAGGAAUUUUUAGAAAGUUUAGUAGUAAGGGCAUUUUGGUUAUUUAGUUAUUAAAAUGAAUUAAAAACAAAAUUAAAAGCCAAUUUUUGUCCAUCUUCUUCAUUAGGCCGAAAUUUCAAGGGUUCACCAUAGUUAGGGUUUGUUUCAAGCUUCCAAACUCCAUAAUCAAGAGAAACGAGAUUCAAGUCGCGAUCGAGGAAAAGAAAAUAUUGUGGACUAAAUUGCAAAAUCUUUAUAUUUUGGUACCAAGGUAAGUUCAUGUGUAAAUAAUGUAGCAUAAUUGUUAUUUUUAAGUUAUUGAUGUUAAUUAUAUGAUAUGCUGAUUUUUAUAUGAAAUAUAUGCUUUGUGGUUAUUUUCGAAUAAAAUGCAAAUUAUGUGUAUUAAUUGUUAAAUAUAAAGUCCUACCGAGUAUUGGUUUUGGUAUUUUACAGAAGAUGGCAAGGAUAUGUGUUCGAGGAAAAUCCCGUUUGAACCUUAGGAAUAGAUUAGGAUACAAAUGACAUGUCACUAGGAUGGUUGAGCAUCCAAACUCGUUAAGUUGAGUCCGAGUUCACUUAUGGAUGCGAAUGUCCGAACUCGUUGAGUUGAGUCCUAGUUCGUGAAAUGUAACUAGGCAUCCGAACUCGUUGAGUUGAGUCCGAGUUCACUUAUAGAUGCGAACGCCCGAGCUCGUUGAGUUGAGUCCGAGUUCACUUAGGGGCAGGUUACGUGAUUUCUUGAUUACACAUGAGGCACUUAUGUGCAAAUUAUCCGUGUAUCCGAGUUGUAUUCCGAUGUGUUCAACGGGUGAAAUUUCUAGUGAAAUGAAAGAACACUUAAGAUGCAAGCGACGUAUUGGUAAGUGUUGUGAAAUGGACACUUUGGGCAGGUAUGUUCUUAACCCUCGGGUUGAUAAUAGAUACAACAACGAUAAGGUGGUAAGAUGAUGAAUGAUGUUUAGAAAUAUGACAUAUGUUUUGGUGAUACCAUGCUAAAGUUGUUUGGUAUAUUUGUAUUGUUAUGUUACUUGUUAUUUACAUAUGAACUUACUAAGCAUUUAUCCUUACUCCCUCCUCUUUAUUUACUGUAGUUUUGAACAAGCCAGCUCGGGAAUCGGGACGGGUUGAAGGUUCGAUCACACUAUCUAAAGGACUUUCAUCUGGGUAAAUGGCUUGUAAAACUUAAGUAUGGCAUGUAUAGCAAUAUACUUAUUUUCUGUAAAUAAUUUUAUGAUAUGGCCAUGAUUGGUUGAGAAAAUGUUUGAUAUUGAUAAGUCAUGGUGAUGGUUAAAUUUAGAUCAUGUUUGAUAUCAUGGAAGUUUAAUAGGUUAUCUAGUUCAUAACAACUCAUGAAAAGAUGAAAUUUGCCUUAAAACAGAAUAUUACUGCAGCAAUGACAUGAAUUUGAAAAAUUACUAAAAAUAGUAUAAAUAGAAAUAAAUGAUGAGUAAGUUAUAAAAUUGAAGAUUAAUGACUCUAUUUUCAUGUGGAUUGAACAAAACAGGCAUAUAAAUUAUAUUUUAUGAGAUAUUUAAACUUUUGUGAAACAGGGCCAGAGUGAUUUCUGGAUCCCCUGUUCUGACUUUAAAAAUUCAUAAUAAAUUUUACAAAAAUGAUUAGAAGUUUUUCUUUAUAUGUACAGAUUCCUUAUUGAGUCUAGUUUUAAGAGAAACAAACGUAAUAGUCAUUUAAAUUCUGUAUAGAGAGAUAUCUGAUUCGUAAUACACAGAGGUCAGAACAGUCGAACUCUGAAACAGGGGAGACUUUAACUAAUAAACUGUACUAAUUGGCCCAACCAAAAAUUCUAGAAAAAAAUUAGUAAAUAUAUUUAUGAGUCUAGAUUUAGGGAAAAUUUACGGAUUUUGAUUUCGAGUUUUGUAACUCGAGAUAUGAUUUUUCUUGUAACUGUGACGCAGGUAGCUAGAACGCUGUGAAUGUAGAAACAAAUGAUUUGAAGUUUUUAAUUUGAUAAAUUAUGUUCGGUAACUCCUCAAGCUCGACUCCGGCGACGGUUUCGGGCGUGGGGGCGUUACAUAAACAAUUAUAAAACAUAUUAAUUUAUAUAUAUUGAACUAUUCAAACUCAAUGAGAAUUCAAACAUUCAUUUUCCAACCAAUGUUUUGGUCUACUUUAAAUUUCAAAUCAUUUAUUAUUUUUCAAUAGCAAUUAAUCAAUCAGUAAUGUUCAUUAACACUCAGAACAAUUAUUUAUUCAGUAACAGUCAGUUAUUCGGUAACAAUCAAUUAUUCAAUAAUAACCAGUUAUUCAAUAUCGAUCAAUUGAUCGGUUAUCCAGUAACAGUCAAUUAUUCAGUAAAAUCAGAUAUUCAGUAACUAUUAAGGUAUUUAGUAGCAGUCAUUCAUUCAGUGACAAUCAGUUAUUCAGUAAUGAUCAAUUAUUCAGUAAUAUUCAGUUAUUCAGUAAUAGUCUAAUAUCCAGUAACAGUCAAUUAUCCGGUAACAGUCAAUUAUUCAGUAAUAAUCAGUUAUUUUAUACCUUUAUUUACCCCUAUUAACAUGACUCGGACUCAGACAGAUACACGGAUCCAACCAACACACCAGUACGGCACAUAGUGCCUCAUCGGCCGAAGCCGGAACAAUAAUAGUAACAGUAGCAGUACGGUACAUAGAGUACCUCAUCGGAACAAAUCCGGAACAGUAACAGUAACAGUAACAGUAUUCAACACACAAAGUACUGAAUCGGUAACGGUAACAGUAACAAUAUUCAACACACAAAGUGUCGAAUCGGUAACGGUAACAGUAACAAUAUUCGACACACAAAGUGCCGAAUCGAUAACAGUAGCAGUAACAAUAUUCGACACAUAAAGUGCCGAAUUGGUAACAGUAGCAGUAGCGGUAACAGUAACGAACACAUAAGUGCCUAAAAUACGGCACAUAAAGUGCCCGAUCGGUAAAGUCGAUAAAUCCCGUACUCUUCCAAUCCUAUGGCAUGCCAAUUAUAUCUGACUAGCCCGACAAGUUAAUAGGAAAUUUAAUUCUUAUUCCAAUUUUACUUAAUAUUCAUGUUUACCCCUAUUAACAAGACUCGAACUUUGGCGGAUAUACCGAUUCCAACCAAACACACCAGUAUGGCACUCAGUGCCUGAACACUUCUAAAUCCUAUGGCAUGCCAACUAUAUCCGACUCAGUCCGACUAGUUAAUAGGAUAUUCAAAUCAUUUUUCUAUUUCAAAUUCGCUUUCAAUUUAAUCACAAAUUCUCAUAUUUCAAUAUCCAACCAAUACACAUUUCAAUUAAUCAUAAUUCCAUUCCAUUCAAUUCAAUUCAAUUCAAUUCAAUUCAAAUUCACUUAUCCACUUUCUAAUCAAUAUACAAUUAAAAAUCAAUACAUAUUUCAGAUAUUCACAUAUAAUCAUACUUCGAUUUAAUUCCAACCACUUUUCAAUCAAUACACAAUUCACAUAUUUACACAUAUUCAUAAUUUAUUUUAUUUUUAUUCAAUUCAUAUUUUUUAUUUAUUUAUUGUCCAAUCAAAUUUAAAAUCACUAAUUUCUUUUCAAUCAAUAUACAUUUCAAAUAAUCACAUUCAAUUCAAUUUGGUUCAAUUCCAUAUCAUCCAAUCAAAGCCAUUCCAAUAUUAACUUCUCAUGUAUUUUAUUUGUUUCACUUUUCCAAUCAAUUUACAUUUUAAUUUCAAUUUCAAUUCAAUAACAAUUCACAUAUAUCCAUAAAUCAAUUCAAUAUAAUCAAUAUUCAAUCCAAUUCAUAUAAUCAUCUCAAAACACCUACUACAUAUAUAUAUUAAAUAAUAAAUCCAAUAAUUUAAGUAUUAAGUUCGGAUUAUAAAAAUACAAACCAUAAUUUCCGAGCUAACUCCCGUUGACUUUGUCUUGUCCUUUCUUAGCUGAGAUUUUCGGUACCACAUUGACUACGAAAUUAAUACAAUUCAUAAUCAUUAAUACAUUACUAAUUUAUAUCUUGAGUUACAGAAUUCUAAAUUAAGAUCCGCUAAUUUCUCCUGAAACUAGACUCACAAAUCUUCUUACCAUAAAAUUUUCAGAAUUUUUUGUUUAGCCAUUAAAUACAGUUUAUUCUUUAAAUUCACCCCUAUUCUGCUGUCUGACAGUUUCGAUCCUUCUUCACUAAAAAUUAAUUAUCUCAUAGUACAGAACUCGGAUAAUAUUCCCGUUGAUUUUUCCUGAAAAUAGACUCAUUGGGGAUUCUAAACAUAUAAAUUUAGCCUCUAAUUAUUUUUAUUCAAUUUUUGGUGAUUUUCCAAAGUAUGAACAUGGGAACUCGAAUUCAUUCUGACCUUGUCUAACAAAACUCAUUAUAUCUCAUAAUUUACAAUUCAAUAGGUUACACCGUUUCUUCUAUAAGAAAUUAGACUCAAUAAGCUUUAAUUCCAUAUUUUAUUCAUCCUCUAAUUCAAUUUAUACAAUUUUUUUUAUUUUUCAAACUUAAACUACUGCUGCUGUCCCAAACAGUCAUAAUGCAAAAUGUUGAUUUUCUUUAAUUUCAAUUUAAUCCUAACUAAAUUCACUUACUUUUCUAUCUUAAUUCAUACUUUAUUUCUACUCAAUUUUUAACCAAACUUAGACAAAAUUAUCUAUUUUUCAUCAUAAAACCAUAAUUUCAAAAUUCUUUUAAUUUAGUCCUUAAAGCAUAAAACUUAUGAAUCACUUUACAAUUCAAUCCUUAUUUCAUUUCUAACUUGAAUUUCUAUCAAUUUAGCCCUUAAUUCAUCUUUUUAUUCAACUUAAUCAACACAUAAAAAUUCAUUAACUUCCUAAUUUUUGAUAUAAUUCAUGUAGUACUCUUCUCUAGAAUUCCAUAAACAUCAAAAUUAUAAGAAAAGUGAUCAAAUUGACUUACCUAGUAAAGCUUAAGGCUUCAAAAACCCUAAUUUUCCUUUUAUUUUUCUUUCCUUCCUUUCUUUCCCCUGUUUCGUCUGCUUCUCUGUUUCUUUUUUUUUUUCUUUUGUUUUACUUUAUAUAUAUAUAUAAUAUAAUAACAAUAAUAAUAAUAAUGACUUUAUUAAAUAUCUACUUAAUAUCAAAUAUUUAUUUUACACUUGGGUACACAUAUAUUAUUACAUUCGUAUUUCAUCCUCACCAUACACUUGUCAUUUUACAUUUAUUUAUUAUAUAAAUAUAUUAUAAUAUAAUUAUUUAUUUAAUAAAUAUCUCUCACUAAAUAAUAAAUAUCCAUUUAAUAUCAAAUACAUAUAUUAAAAAUUUAUGUAUUUUUUUAUUAAUACAUAUAUUAAUAUAUUACCAUACACUUUUCUUUAUUUAAUCUAUUCAUCAUAUAAUAUCAAUUUAAUAAUAAUCAAUACAUUAGUUAUUUACUUAAAUAAUAAGUAAAUACAUACGUGUAUUACAAAUGUAUGUAUAAUACUUAUUACACAUGUAUUUUAUUUUUGCCAUACACUUGGCACUCCUUUGGCUUAUUUACUUAUUUAGUCCUUUCAAUUUUUUUAUCCUAUAAUUAAACUUUCACACUUCAUUCAACUUAAUCCUUUUAUCUAAUUAUCCUUUAUUUAAGCUAAUUUGCUUCAUUAAACUUUAAUUAAUCACUCUCUUAACUUCGUAAAUAUUUUUAAUAAAUAUUUACAAAUCUAUUUUUCAGAAACGGAGACCCGGAAAUGCACUUUUUCGAUAACUGUAAAAAUUCGGGUCAUUACAAGUUUGGACUUUGAUGCCAUUAAGAAACUUGAGGAGAGGAUAACCAUUGAAGAUUCUACUCACGAAAUAGUACUCAUAUGGAGGCAUUGCAACUAUGGAAAGCUUCAGGUAAAACCUUUGAAUUAUCUCCCUCACAGACUAAGCUCGUACCAUCUGUUUUGCAGGCUCCGAAGUUGGAACUCAAACCACUCCCAAGCCACUUGAAGUAAGCUUUUCUCGGUGAAAAAAAUACACUACCAGUGAUAAUAUCGAGUAAACUCAAGAGGGCAGAAGAAGAAAACUUGGUACGAGUCCUUAGUGACUAUAAAAAGGUAAUUGGAUGGACAAUAGACGACAUUAAGGGGUUGAGUCCCUCGACUCGCUUGCAUAAAAUUCAAGUGGUGGAUAAUGCUGUACCUAAAAGAGAGGCUCAAAGGCGUCUCAAUCCGCCCAUAAUGGAAGUGGUAAGAAAAUAAGUCCAAAAGCUACUUGACGCCGGGAUGAUCUAUCGCAUUUCCGGCAGUAGUUGGGUUAGCCCAGUCUACGUAGUACCAAAAAAGACGGGUGUGACUGUAAUUGAGAAUUUGGCAGGUGAGAUGGUUCCCACUCGGGUCCAAAACGGGUGGAGAGUCUGCAUCGAUUACAGGAUGUUGAAUUUCUUAACUCGAAAAGAUCACUUUCCACUUUCUUUUAUUGACCAGAUGUUAGAACAUUUAGCUGGAAAGUCUCACUAUUGUUGUCUUGAUGGUUACUCAGGGUUUUUCCAGAUUCCAGUGGCACCAGAGGAUCAGGAGAAGACGAUAUUUACAAGCCCAUUUGGCAUAUUCGCUUACAAACGGAUGCCAUUCGGACUCUGUAAUGCACCAGCCACUUUUCAGAGGUGCAUGGUAAGUAUAUUUUCAGACUACGUUGAGAAAAUUAUCGAAGUGUUCAUGGACGACUUUACUGUAUAUGGUGAGUCCUUCGAGGUAUGUCUGACUAACCUUGCAAAAAUUUUGGAAAGAUGCUUAGAAUUUAAUCUUGUUCUAAAUUAUGAGAAAUGCCAUUUUAUGGUAGACAAUGGAUUAGUUCUAGGUUAUAUUAUUUCUGCAGAGAGAAUUUCUGUCGAUAAAGCAAAAAUCGAGAUCAUUAACUCACUACCAUACCCCACUACUGUGAGGGAGAUUCGAUCUUUCCUUGGUCAUGCAGGUUUCUACAGGCGGUUUAUUAAAGACUUUUCGAAAAUUGCGCAACCCCUUUGCAACCUAUUACAGAAGAACAAUGAAUUUGAGUUUGACCAGUCAUGCAAAGAAGCGUUUGACACUCUCAAACAUAAGCUCGUUUCGGCACCUAUUGUUCAACCACCGAAUUAGAGUUAUCCUUUCGAGAUAAUAUACGAUGCUAGUGACCAUAGCGUGGGAGCAGUCUUUGGAUAAAGGAUCGAGAAGGAACCACACGUUAUCUCCUAUGCCUCUAAAACUUUAAACGCCGCGCAAAUCAAUUAUUCAACCACUGGAAAGGAGUUUCUAGCUAUAGUCUUUGCCUUAGAAAAAUUUCGUUCAUAUUUAUUAGAAACUAAUAUUGUAGUUUUUUUUUAUCAUGCAGCCCUCAAAUAUCUGAUCGGGAAAAAGAAAGCAAUACCUAGAUUUAUAAGGUGGAUACUACUUCUGCAAAAAUUCAAUCUCAAAAUAAAAUAUAAAAAAGGAUGUGAAAAUUUGGUGGCUGACCAUCUGAGCCGAAUUCCUCUAUCAACGGACGUAACACCACUUAAAGAUGAUUUUCCGGAUGAAAACUUACUUACUGCCCAGAUGAUUUUUCUUUGGUAUGCAGACAUGGUAAAUUAUCUUGCUACAGGUAUGGUUUCUCCUAACCUUUCGCGAUAUGAAAAAGACAAGAUCAAACGUGAGUCUUGAUACUAUAUUUGGGAUGACCCCUAUUUUUGGAAGUACUGUUCUGACCAGGUAAUUCGCCGAUGCAUUCCUGAAACUGAGGUAAAAUCCAUUCUAUCCUUUUGUCAUUCUUAUGCAUGUAGUGGGCAUUUUGGCCCCAAACAAACUGCGCAUAAAAUACUUGAAUGAGGACUAUAUUGGCCAAAUAUUUUUGUGACACAUAUCUGUUUUCUAAAACUUGCAAAAAGUGUCAAAAUGUAGGAAACUUGAGACGAAAAAAUGAAACGCCUCUAAACUCUAUACAUGUCUGUGAAAUUUUUGAUAUAUGGGGCAUUGAUUUUAUGGGCCCUUUUUUCUCAUCGUUCGGUAAUGUUUAUAUUUCACUUGCUAUUGACUAUGUGUCAAAAUGGGUAGAAGCAAAAGCCACUCGUCGUGUUGAUGCCAAAAUAGUAGUCGAUUUUCUGAAAAGUUGUAUUUUUUCCAGGUUUGGCACACUGCGAGCUUUGAUUAGCGAUCGAGGGACGCAUUUUUGCAACAAAGUAAUUGAUAUGCUCUUGAAAAAACAUGGAGUGGUGCAACGAGUCGCUACAGCUUAUCACCCACAAUCGAACGGUCAGGCGGAAGUGUCGAAUCGAGAAAUCAAGUUGAUUUUGGAGAAGACCGUUAAGCCAAAUAGGAAAUACUGGAGUUUGUGACUUAAUGAUACAUUGUGAGCUUACCGAAUAGCUUAUAAAGGAUCUAUAGGUAUGUCUCCUUAUCGACUAAUUAUUGGUAAACCGUGUCAUCUUCCCGUUGAGUUGGAACAUCAGGCGUUUUGGGCGGUCAAACUAUGCAACAUGGAAUUGGAAGCUGCAGGUAAGUAUCGUAAAUUAAAUAUCCAGGAACUUGAGGAAAUUCGACGAGAAGCGUAUGAGAGUGCCCAAAUUUACAAGGAUAAGGUCAAAGCGUACCAUGACCAAAAGAUAAAUCGUAAACAAUUUAUGGUAGGCCAGAAAGUAUUACUUUAUGACCCUACAUUAAGAAUUUUCGCAGGUAAGCUUUGAACUAAGUGGUUGGGGCCUUUUAUUGUUACUCACGUAUUUCUACAUGGUGCAGUCGAGGUCAAAAGCGAAGAAUCUAAAAAAAUUUUCAAAGCCAACGAGCAGCGAUUAAAACCUUUUUACGAAAACUUCUAAGUCCACUUGGUUGAAGAAUUGGUUCUCGAGGAGCUGGCUGAAUAAAUUUACAGGUCAUCAAGCUAACGACGUUAAAAAAAAGCACUCUUUGGGAGGCAACCCAAAUUUAUUUUUAUUUAUUUAAUUUUUAGUUUAAGAAAAAUUUAGGGUGUAAAUAAAUAAACUCCUAUUUUACUCAGUCAAAUUGAUGUUUUCAGGAACAUUAUGGAGGCCGUGAAUUCUCAAGAAGACGAGCAUGAUGGUGGUGUGGGCAUGACUUGCUAAUUGAAAAAAAAAAACCAUCUCUGAAAUCGAUUUCUCGUCUUUGACAUGUACACGAACUGCUUGUGAGAAUAUGGUUUUUCGCCAACGCCCACAUUUUGCUACUCGAGAACAAGAGAAACAACCUCCGACUGUAGAGGCCCGUUUAAGCCGAAUUGAGGCUCGACUUGGAACAAUGGAAACCCAAGUCUCCACAAUCCUCGACAUCUUACAGAAUCGUUACUCCCAACACCAACUACGUCAUUAACAUAUAUGGGGAGUAUUCUUCACUUUUUCUUUUUAUUUUAGGCUGCUAACUUUUAUUUCAUAUAAUAUAUGCUUGAGGACAAGCAUAGUUUAAGUAGGGGGGAUGGAUGGAUGGUAAUGGAUGGUAAAUAUGCAUGCUUUUUGCUGCAUAUCUCUCUUUUGCAUGUGUUCAAUCUUACAUUAAGUUCAUUCGACAGUUUAUUUAACAUUGAGCCUUUAAUCCCAUACUUAGUUAAUUUGGAAAAUUGGGCAAAAUUUGAAUUAAAAUGUUCAAGUAUAUAGGUCAGUCAACAUUUGUGUCUUAAAAUUGAUAUAUGUAGCUUGAUUUUUUCCAUAUAAAUUGAUUGUUUGGAAAAUUAUAUUUGCUUGUGCAUUAAUAAAUAAGUGAAUAAAUAAAGGUUCAAGUUAUGAGUGAAUUUUCGAAAAUGUGACCGGAUUGAGUAACCGGGGUAAAGUUCUUGUGUUGUCAUCUUAUCUCGUGUAAAAAGGUUCGAGUGACAAGUCGAUAACUUAUAAACAUUCCGCUAACUGAGCUUUAUUUUAUAAAAUAUAUAUAAUAAAUAAAUAAAAUUUAAGACGGUUUAAACUGAGUAACCGGGAUAGGGUGCUUGGGUUGUCAUCCUAGUUCACCUUAAAAGGUUUGACCACGUGAAUAAUUUUUUCUAAUGCAUAGUUAAUUAAAUAAUGCCAUACAUUUUAUCGGAUUCAAACUCAAUUUAGUGAAAUUAUUUAGUCCACAUGUUUCAAUUUUAUGACAUUUGUUGAUCAAAUUUUAUAUCUUGAGCAUUUAUUUAUUUUUGCCCGUCGUUGUUUACAUUGAUUAUGUAGCAAAAAGAGGCUCGAUUUUUCAUAAAUUGUAGAACAAAUUUAAUGUUUGAAAGAACAAACAUGCUUGAGGGCAAGCAUGAGCUAAGUAGGGGGAGUUGAUAAACAUGUUAAUUUACAUGAUUCUUGUGUUUAAUUUGGCUUAUUUCUGAAUUAAUCCCUGCUUAAUUGGUGUUUUUAUGGAUUAAUCUUGUCAGGGAUGCAAUUGGUCAAAAACGAGCAAAAAGUGGUCAAAUUGAAAGACAAAUGUUGAGUUGGGGCCAAAUCAUAAAGAUGAGAAAGCCAAGGAUUUAACAUCAAUUUUGACUUUCUAAAAAGCUAAAAAUAGGAGAUUUUAUUUUAUUUUAUUAUUUAUUAUUUAUUAUUUAUUUUUAUUUUAUUAAUUUAGCUUUAGCAUAUUUUUAGUAAACCUUAUGUAUAUAAAUAUGGGCUUUUAGUUCUUAGAAAAUCAUCUCUUAUUUUUGUAUUCCUACUUCUAUUUGGAAUAGAAAUACUCUCUUUUUUCCCUUUUCAAAUUGGAGUUUAGCAUUCUGCCACUUUUUCACUUGGUUUUGUUUCUUUUCUAAAAUUGGGCUAAUUGCCUUUCAAUUGUUUUUCCUUUCCAAUUUCCAUCACCAUAAUCAUCAAUCUUUUUUUCCAAACUCACAAAGCAUGAACAGUUUCAUGCUUAACUAAAUUCCAUCUUAGCUUUAUGCCAGUGUUCUUUUCCGGUCAAGAAUCAUGAAAUUCAUACUCGCACCUAAAAUCUUUCCAAUCGGUAUUCACCUUUUUCCUAAGUAUCGGGAUUGACAACUCAUCCCUUAAGGAUAAUUCGAUUUCAAGUCAAAAAGAGCUCGUUGGGUUGGAGUCGUGUUUUUUGACAGUUGGAGAAAUGAAUCGACCGUGCUGUAUUUAGAUCUCCGAAAACAAAUAGAGGAAGAGGUGAUAGGGUUUAAACGACCCACACAGUUGAGGCCGUUAAUUUGAGUUGGGUUCUUCAGAACGCAAGGCUACCAGAAUCUUGAAUCAGGGACACGUGUAUCUCUGUUAGAUAAUCGGUAAGGGUUGGUUUGCAGGUCGUACCGGGACCAGCUACGAGAGGAAGAAUUGGUGGUUAGGACGUUCUUAACCAUUAUAACCAGCUUAUCGUUUGAAGGAGAAUAUCAAUUUUCGAGGAUCGAUUCUCAACACGGAAUUUACCGAGUCUAAGGCUAAGGCUCAUUACAUUUGAUUGCAAAUCCCAAUUUAAUUUCUGAUUUAUUUAAUUAUUUAUCUUAGCAGUUUUGAUUAUUUAAUUUCUAAUCAAUUUCAAAAUCCCCCGCUUUACUUAUUUAUUUGCUUAUUUUUCAGCUGGUACGUUUUGAGUCGUGGGCACGACUCUAGCCACGACCCUUGACACGACAUUCUGUUUAUAAGCCAAACUCGAAAGUUGAUUAGAGUACCAAUCCCUGUGGACUCGACCCUACUACUACCACUCUUACUACUAUCCAGAGUAUUUAGUAGGAAUUAUAUUUGGUGGAUUUGACGUCCAUCAUUUUCAUUUUCAAAAUAAUUAACAUCAUCAAGUUAAUACAACUUGUUGACUAGACAAGUAAGUUAAAUAAGCACAUAACUAAAUCAGAGGCGAAUAAGUGGCGGCUGGCAGGUCCUUGUCCCCCCUAAAAUGGAAAAUUUCUAUUUAGGCUAUUGAAAUUUUUUUAAAAUUUUAAAUUAAUAAAUGUAAAAUUGUACUUUGCCCCCCUAAAAUUAUAAAAAUUUAACUUAAUCCUUUAAAAAUUAUAAAGAUAUAGACUAUAAAAAAUUAAAAUUUUAUUCGGCCCCCUAAAAAUUUGUUCUAGCUUUACUCCUAAACUGAAUAAAUAAUUAGAAAAUAUCGAAACAAUCGACGAGAAAAUUGAUUAAUUAACUAGGAAAUAUAAUCCAUUAUUGUUUUAAGACAAUAAAAUCUAGUCGUGUUGAAUUGAGAAAAUCACACAAAAAGAAAUUUAAAACAAACUUGCAUAAAUACAAAGUAAUAAGAAAUAAUAUAGAGAGAAAAAUAGUUAUAGAAAAAUAUGACCCUCUUUCUCACGCUAUUACUAAUUAGUUAAGGUAAACAAUUACUUUAUCAUUAAAGAUUAUUGUAAACAAGUUUUGUACUUUCUGGGUGUUUUUAUGAUCCGGUUUUAAGAUUAUCAUCAAGAUCUUCUGAUGUUGGAAUCUUUUGCCUUGGAUUGAUUUGAUUUUAGAUGAUUCACUAGUGGUGUCAAUUGGUCAUAUCUAUUGCAUUUCGAUACUUCCCUUCAGUUUCCUAGCAUUGAUUAGUCACAGCGAAACACUGCAAAAACCAAUAUUCUAACCGUAAUGAAUGGUGGAUGAUUGUAUGUUGUUAUACAAAUCAGUAGCAAGCAUGCAUCCAUGCGGGGGUUGCCCAACGAAUCAGUGAUACCACCCCGCAGCACAUCAGAAGUGCUUAUAGUCAAUUAAGAUUUUUCACCAUAACCAAGUAUCUAAAGAAACUCUCGUAAUGGUUCAUUUGCAUGGAUGCAUUAUGUUACCCUUUUUCGGAGUGAUUCGUCUCAUCGAAAUUCUAUAAAAAGAUCCAUCAUCCUAAUCGGAAUGAAUGAUGAAUGAUUGCAUAUUGAUUUGUAAAUUCACUGGCAAGCUAGCAUCUUUUUUCCUAUGACAGCAAAGGUUGAGCUUGAUGCCCGUUUGAUGUUUUGCCCGCACAAAUUUUGGGGCUGAAACCUAUUGCCAAUUGCUGAAUAUUCUGUCAUUUUCUGCCUUUUUAAUGAAAAACCACGUUGGAACAAAGAAGGUUUUAGAUUUACAUUGGAGCUGCUAUGCUACCACGUAAACCAGAUAAACCCCGUGAACUUUUAGCCCUUUCAAUUUUGCCACCUCAGCUAUUAUCCUCUGCCAUUUCUGAACCACGGAUUCAGAUAGAUGAUGCAAAUAAGAGCUAUAUCAGCUCUCCCCAUCUAAGAAUUAAGACCCAUCAAAUCAUAUCAUUAAAUUUCAGCCCCAGAUAGGGACCCAAAAGGGCAAAAGUCCGCGACACGGAUGUUGAACAUGGGUGCAUUAGAAAAUCGAAGAGUUCGAACAAACAAUCAUAUAACCCAAUGAAGCACAUAAAGGACUGAGAAACAAAGUCAUUAUGAAUCCAAUACUCAAAUGCAGAAAGAAAUUUUAUUAUAUAAAGGCUAUGAAAGCCUAAGCAUAUCAACUUACAACAGCAAGCUAUUUUGGAUAGAGUGGAAACAUAAAAGCUUCCCCUUGGACAAAGAUCAUAGUGCACAAACUAAAUACGACAAAAUAAAUAAUCUUAAACUGAUAUUGGUUGAUACUUUUUGGAUUCAAUGCCAUUAGCAUAGCUAUAUCAUAAUAAAACUUGGUUCCAAAGCAAGUUUACUUCAUUCUUUGCCGUCAGCAGCACGAAGUGACCCGAGCUGGACCGGUGCUUGGGUUCCUACCACCUUAGAUGAUCCAUAAACAGAUAGAUCAAUGCCUUGAGCCUUCUCUUUCUCAAUCUGUUCCUUGAUCCAGAAAUAUGUAAUUCUCAGCCCAUCCUAUAAAAACAGUAAAACCAGAUGCGUCACAAGUGAAUCAGGAACUGAAUGAAACUAGGUAAUAACCGGCCAAAAGCAAUGACUUCAGACUUUUUUACUCUACAGGCAAUGGAGGAAAACCAUUUUCCAAAACCAGAGGUCAUAAAAAUCUUUUUAAACUGGGAAAAUCGUGUGGGGAUAAUAUAAUUCAGUUACCUUCAACCUCAUUGUAGGGGCCCAACCAAGUUUUUCUUUGAUCAAUGUAUUGUCUGAAUUACGACCACGGACACCCUCUGGACCAGGGAUAUGGUGGAUCGGAAGCUUUUUAUCUUCAAAGCUAAGCACAAUCUCCGCCAUCUCGUUCAUGCUAACCAUCUCAUCACUUCCGAUGUUCACAGGCUCACGGAAAUCGGACUUUGUCAAUCUGAAUGCAUAAUAUAGAGAAAGAUUGAUUAAUAUUAGCAAAUCUCAAACUGAAAUCAAGCGGCUAGUAAAUGCCAAAACAAGUGUCUAAAAGUUUUUCUUCUAAAGCAUAAAAUACAGUAUACAAUUUAAAUUCUAAUCACCAAAAUCAUAAUUUCCCAAAUUGCAUACUCAACUAGCAUAGCAAACUAUGAAACCAGGAAAUAUGCCCUAUUUGAUUCCUCAAUGUUUAUAUUAUAAGCCAAAUCCAUGCAGAUUUAACAUUUACUAAAAGCAAGCCCUUUAGUUUUUCUCUUCAAAUUUGUUGUGUAAAAUGAGUUUCAGCAGGAGGAGCUUUGAAAAUUGCCCAAAAACUUACCUAAGUACACCUUCAACACAUUCAUCAAUGAAAGUGAAAGAUCGAGUCUGAAGACCAUCUCCCCACAUCUCAAACUUGUCAAUGGAAGUAAUAGCCUUUCUGCAAAAGGCAGCUGGAGCCUUCUCCCUUCCACCUAUUAAGGUUGAUACAAGAAAAGAAAAAAAAUUAGUAAGUUCCAAAAUCGAAAAAAAUACAUAAGCACUCAUCAAAACUAAGGGUUUACCUUUCCAAGUUCCAAAAGGGCCGUAAAUGUUGUGGAACCUUCCAAUGCGACAUUCAAUUCCAAAGUCUUCGGUGUAAUGCUUGCACAACUCCUCUGUUGCAAGCUUCUCCAAGCCGUAAGCAUCUUGUGGCUAAAACCAAGGUUUAAAACACGACAAUCAGUAGUUAUAUUGGAUUAACUAAUAGAACAUAAGAUUACCGGAUAGUAUUUAAUGAAUUUGAGUCACAAACCUCAGCAGGCCAGGCAUCGGAUUCUUUCAAGCUCACAUUAGUUUCCAAUUGCUUAAAUUCAGGAUAGAUACAAGCACUGGAGGCGUAAAAAAACCUAAACAUACCAAGAUAUUGAGUUUAAACAAACUGUAAACUUAGUGGAAUUGCAAUGAAUGUAAGGCAAUCAUAUGAUACGAUGUACCAAUCCAAACAAACCUCUUAACUCCACUGAUUCGAGCAGCCUCGAGCAUGUUGAAACUGAUCAUUGUGUUGUUGUACAUAAUGACAGAGUGGUUGGACUGGAUGAAGCCCAUGCCACCCAUAUCAGCGGCAAGGUUGAAAACAUGAUCCACUCCAUUGGUAACCUUCAAGCAAUUUUCCAUCACUCGAAGAUCAACAAGAUGGAAUUCGUGACAGAACAUAUCUUCUGUCAUGUGCUCAUUCUUCUUCCAAUCAGAAGCAAUGAUGUAAUGUCCUUCACUCUUCAGACGUCGAGCGAUGUGCGAAGCGAUGAAGCCACCAGCACCGGUGAUGGAAAUUCGGAGUUUCUCGGAUGGCCAGUAAGGCUCCCUCUCCAGGGCAUCAUAGGUGUAAGCACCAUAGCUGGUCCCAUCAGUACUUCCCAUUCUGCAUAUGCUCAAUUGAAAAUUUACGCAACUUAUAUAGUACAAAAUAAAUAUAAAAAUUCAAGCUUUCAUGUAUCUAUCUAUCUAUCUAUAUAUAUAUACUACUUUAUCUAGUAAAUCCAAAUUAGCUGAAAAAAUUUACAUUAUCAUCCAUAUAAUUCACCAAAAAAUAUCCUAAUUCAGAACAAAAAUCAAAGAAACAGAUAACUUAAAUCCACCAAAUUUUAAAAAAGAAAAUCUUGCAAAGCAAAUCUUUAUGAACCCAAAAUUUUGUUCACUAAUAGCAGUAACUAAAGCACCAUAAAAACAAAAUCUUUAUGAAUCGACCGUGCUGUAUUUAGAUCUCCGAAAACAAAUAGAGGAAGAGGUGAUAGGGUUUAAACGACCCACACAGUUGAGGCCGUUAAUUUGAGUUGGGUUCUUCAGAACGCAAGGCUACCAGAAUCUUGAAUCAGGGACACGUGUAUCUCUGUUAGAUAAUCGGUAAGGGUUGGUUUGCAGGUCGUACCGGGACCAGCUACGAGAGGAAGAAUUGGUGGUUAGGACGUUCUUAACCACUAUAACCAGCUUAUCGUUUGAAGGAGAAUAUCAAUUUUCGAGGAUCGAUUCUCAACACGGAAUUUACCGAGUCUAAGGCUAAGGCUCAUUACAUUUGAUUGCAAAUCCCAAUUUAAUUUCUGAUUUAUUUAAUUAUUUAUCUUAGCAGUUUUGAUUAUUUAAUUUCUAGUCAAUUUCAAAAUCCCCCGCUUUACUUAUUUAUUUGCUUAUUUUUCAGCUGGUACGUUUUGAGUCGUGGGCACAACUCUAGCCACGACCCUUGACACGACAUUCUGUUUAUAAGCCAAACUCGAAAGUUGAUUAGAGUACCAAUCCCUGUGGACUCGACCCUACUACUACCACUCUUACUACUAUCCAGAGUAUUUAGUAUGAAUUAUAUUUGGUGGAUUUGACGUCCAUCAUUUUCAUUUUCAAAAUAAUUAACAUCAUCAAGUUAAUACAACUUGUUGACUAGACAAGUAAGUUAAAUAAGCACAUAACUAAAUCAGAGGCGAAUAAGUGGGGGCUGGCAGGUCCUUGUCCCCCCUAAAAUGGAAAAUUUCUAUUUAGGCUAUUGAAAUUUUUUUAAAAUUUUAAAUUAAUAAAUGUAAAAUUGUACUUUGCCCCCCUAAAAUUAUAAAAAUUUAACUUAAUCCUUUAAAAAUUAUAAAGAUAUAGACUAUAAAAAAUUAAAAUUUUAUUCGGCCCCCUAAAAAUUUGUUCUAGCUUUACUCCUAAACUGAAUAAAUAAUUAGAAAAUAUCGAAACAAUCGACGAGAAAAUUGAUUAAUUAACUAGGAAAUAUAAUCCAUUAUUGUUUUAAGACAAUAAAAUCUAGUUCGUGUUGAAUUGAGAAAAUCACACAAAAAGAAAUUUAAAACAAACUUGCAUAAAUACAAAGUAAUAAGAAAUAAUAUAGAGAGAAAAAUAGUUAUAGAAUUUAUGCCGAUUACUCCAAACCUCUUUUUCUUCUAUCUUUGCAAUCUUGAAGUUUUUUUUUGGUGUGAGAGAGUUGUUUCUUAGCCUCCAAGUGAUUUCUUUUUCUUUUCCUUCUUUUUUUUCCUUAAAUCUCAUCACAAUGGAUUGCUUGCUAUCAAAUUUCUAAAUUGAAGAGUAUGCAUGGUCCACUGCAUUGAAUUAAAUCCGGUGGAGCGGAAGGCUUCUCUUCACGACUUCUUACUCUAAACUCUAAGUUUUCCAUACUUCAUCCGAGGCCUACAAUAGAAAAAAGAAAAAUUACAAGUGAAUCUAAGUUAACUCUAAAAAUGAUAAAAACAAGCAAAAUUCAAAUAAAAUAUAAUUAAUUCGAAAAACUAUAAGAUAUAAUAAAAAGUAAUCUAAAUGCUAAAUUUACUUUUUACAAUAAAAUAUUAUGAUUGUUUUUGUUUUUCUUUGUUAUUUUUGGUAUAUUUCAUGUUUCUUCUUUUUACUUGAAUUUUGAGAUUUCUUUUAGGUUAUGUUAGAUUAUAUUUUAGAAUUCUUUGACCUAGAUCUUAAGAAUCAAAUAACAUAAUUUUUUUUAAAAAAAUCAGAUCUUAGGACUUAAAUAGGUUAAAGUUUUAUUUUUCUCAUUUAUAUUUUAGGAUUCAAAUAGGUUAAAUUUUACUUUUCUAAUUUAGAUCUUAAGGUUCAAAUAGGGUAGAAAUUUGUUUUUUCUAAUUUAAAUCUUAGGAUUAAAUUUUAUUUUUUCUAAUUCGGUAAACUAAAAAAUAGUCACUUUUGUUUGUCUCAGAUUACAUUUUAGUCACUUAUGUUUGAAAUAUACAUUUUAGUUACUUACAUUAUCGUUUUGUUACGAAGUGAUCACUCUACCGUUAAACUCUGUUACCUCACUAACGACAAUCCUACAUGGCAAUCCAAAUGGGUUUUAAAUGUCAACUUGGAUGUUUAGUUGUUGGGAUAAAAAUAGGUUUUUAAUUAAAUAAAUUUAAUUUAGACUGUGACUAAAACGUAACAUUUCAAACCUAAGUGACUAAAAUGUAAUGUGAAGCAAACAAAAGUAACUAUUUUUAUGGUUUACCCUUUCUAAUUUAAAUCUCAGGAUUUAAACAGGUUAGAAUUUCUUUUUCUUUUUUUUUUUUAAUUUAGAUGCUAGGUUGAUAUAGGUUAACUUUCUCUUUCCCUACUUAGAUCUUAGGCUAUAGAGGUUAGAAUUUUAAUUUUCUAUCAAUUAAAUCAUAGGUUCUUAUAGGUUAGAAUUUAAACUUCCAUUAUUAGGUUAGAAUUAAAAUUGAUUAGCUCUUAGGAUUCAAUGGGUAUUUUGAUUUUUUUUAAUAGUAUUGAAUUUUGAGCCUGUAAUGACAAUAUAUCGCAAAGAAAAGUGAAAGAAAAAUAAAGAAAAUAGAUUUUUACGUGGAAACUUUUCCGGGAAAAAAUUACGGGCAGAUAAAAUGAAAAUCCACUAUGUCGAAUUCAAAUAAUUACAAGAGGAGUAGACUAUGUCUAUUUAUAGGCUUGUAAAAUCAUAUUCUAAAAGGAGUGUAAUAAGUAAUCAAUAUCAAAUAGAUGGAGUUUAAUAAGAUUUAAAAAACCUUAUUCUAAAAUAAAAUAAAAGAAGUGUAGUUUUAUAUGUAGGGGCGUAGCCAGGGGGCUGGCAUGGGCCCCGGCCCCCCUAAAAUAGAAAAUUACAUUUUAGGCCCUUAAAAUUUUUAAAAAUUUUAAAUUAGUAAAGGUAAAAUUGCACUUUGGCCUCCCCUCUAAAAUUAUAAAAAUUCAAUUUAAUCCUUUACAAAUUAUAAAAAUAUAAACUAUAAAAAAUUAAAAUUUCAUCCGGCCCCCCUAAAAAAAUUUUCUGGCUUCGGCCCUGUUUAUAUGGAUUUUACUUUUAUUUUAUUUUACCACUAUAUUUUAUUUAAAUAAAAAUUCGAGUCACUCAAUUCUAACAGAGCUUUUAAAAGGUUAAAUUUCGAUUUAGGAUUAUUGGAGUCAAUUUUGAGAUUUUUGAAUUAGAAAUAUUAAACACCGAAUUUUGUAAGAUUAUCUUUAGACAGGCGUUGUAGGAAUGCUAUAAUCUUUUUUACAUUUAAUUGUACUCUCGAACUUCAAUUUUGAUACGAGCCCGAAUCUAGUUUUUUAAGAUUUUUCCUUAAGAAUAGUUCUAAAAUUGUAGGCAAUAGGCAACUACCUGACUUAGUUUAAGUUGGUUAGUGAUGAUUCUAUUUAUGUUUAGGUUUCAAAUUGUACAUUAAACUAAAAUUAAUGUAUAAUUUAUAAAUCUGAUAUUUAUUUUUAAAUUUUAUUUAAAAUAAUUUUUUAUUUGAUUUUAUAUUAUGUUGUGUAUUCAAAUUUUAAUGGAUUUACAUAUUCGACGAAUAAUAAUACUUAAUUCAAUAUAAGGUUAGUGAGAGUAUACCACAUGCGAGUCCUCAAACUACCCAAGAGGUGCUCAACUAUAGGUUAUAUAUGUGCAUUAUUUGGACAACUUUCCAUGAAUUCGUCAUUGUUCUCUUUUCGAAAUUUAGAGUUUAAACUUUCUAAUUGUUAUUACAUUGUGAUUUAAACUAAUUUUUUAUUAAAUUAAUCUUUAAACUAAUAAUUGCUCCUAUAUUUAAGUCUUAAUUUUUUUCUUUAAGUUAAUAUUUGAAAUUAAUUGUUUUUAAAUUGAGGUUUGAAUUUUCUUUAUUUAACUUUUUUUUUAAAACAAAUAUAAAGGACUAAUUUUGAUAGAAAAAUUUUAAGCUGUGAAAACAAUUUUUAAAUUCAGGGAUAAGAAAAGGUUACAAAACCAAAUUAAAUAUUAAUAAUUGAGCUUUGAAAGAAAUAAUCUCUUAAUAAAAUAGUUUUUAAUUGAUUGAGGAUAGAGUGAUGUAACUCAGUGGAAUCUUUUCGAAGUUAAAAUUGAAGUAAAUGAUUGAAUAGAAUUUAUAAAAGUAUUUUUUUGAAGUUCUUGAGAAAAGUUAAAUGAUAUUUUCAUUAAAAAUUAAGUAAUUACUUAAUUAAUGCAUGACAAUGACUAUAUUGGGCUAUAAGUAACUUGUUUUAGUAGUAUGUUAGUCAAUUCAAAUGAGAGAAAAGAAGAGAUCAAGAACUAUAUUAGAACAAUAAAAACAUACAUUGAUUAAACAAUAGCUACAACUCUAUUCGUCCAAGUAAACACGAUACAAAAUAUGACGCAACACCAUCAUCAACACUGAACCCUCCAUUAAUGACAAUCCAAAGCUUUAGUAUGUUUCUUGGGAAAUCCAUUCAUCCCAACACCCAUGAAACUUUGCUUCUAAACCUAGGCGCUCUUCUUUGGUGGUGUAUUGCCAUAUUUCCAAGUGAAUUGCUUUAAAUCAUCAGGAUAAGUACCCCCUGCAACCUCUUGGAUUGGGAUCGCAUCUGAAAUUUCUUUCAAAUCUUCUUUUGUCAGCUUUACUUUCACUGAUUCAAUGUUGCUGUCUAGAUUUUUAAUCUUGGUUGUUCCUGUAAGAAGUGAAAACAAUGUGUCAAAAGCUUUGGUUUUAAAUCUCAAUGCAAACUGGCCGUUGGUCCAGGAACUUGUAUCGGAGUGUCCAACACGGAUAUGUUCAUUUUCCUAAGGUUUUACAUAUAUCUGGAGGAAUAUGCUAGAAAAGUCUAUGCUAUUUCUGCAGGUUACUAACUUACUCUGACUGUUUUUUCUUCGAGUAUCCGUGUCUAAUACCCAACAUAUUUUGACAUGAGUAUUGAAACAAUCCUCCAAAUAUAUGAAAAACUUCAAAAAAUAUAAGAGUUCACUUAUAUUGUAUCACCUCGGAUUCCGAGUUGAAAGUGAUUGAAUGGGACUUACCGGGAAUAGGAGAAACAUCAUCCCCUUGGUGAAGAACCCAGGCAAGUGCAAGUUGUGCCGGUGUACAUCCAUGCUUUUCAGCCAACUUCUCUACUUUCGAAUAUAGGAUCCUAUUUUGCUCCAAGUUUUCUCCUUGAAACCUUGGGUACACUUCCUUAAAAAAUAAAUGUUUGUAAUGAGUCAACGUUUGUAAUGAGUCAACCGAUCUGUUUUUUACAACUUAGAAGCAUGUUACUAUGUUAUCCGAACUCUUCAUUUUCUUUAAUUACUCAUAUCCAACAUGUCUCUGACACAUAAUUGGAUAUAAGUAUGAGAGUAACAUCCUUCAAAUAAAUGAAAAUGAAACUUAAAAAAAAACUGAAUAUAUUCAUGCCGGACACAUAUCUGUAUCCAACACUUACUCCUGAACCCAUAUAACAUAGAUUAAGUAUAGGUUAAAGCCAUAUAAAGUGAGUUUCCAUACCAGAGAACUAUUCGAGGUAUCCUCCUUUGCUUUACCGGCAAAGAAACCAUGACCAAGGGGACUAUAUGCAACAAUCCCAAUUCCGAGUUCCCUGUAUUGUUGAACACAUUUAGGCAGGCAUAACCUCACAGCAGUUGAAGGAGUUAAAACAGUUGAUAACUUGAGAAAAGACAAUCAAUAAGUGAAUUUCAAUAUAUUUGAGCAAAAGGGUAUAUUUAUAUCCCUCCAAAUAUAUAAAAAUUUGAAUAUAUCUAUAUUCGAAUAAAAAAAAAAGUUAACGAUGAUUGAAGAUAGAAGAACAAACCUGCAAAGGGGAAUUAGUUCUUCCUCAACAUCACGAGUCCAAAGCGACCACUCAAGUUGUACGGCAGUAAGAGGAUGAACAGCGUGUGCCCUCCUUAUAGUUUCGGGGCUAGCUUCAGAUAUACCA
rnacentral:lncRNA from 1 species